UAUUGGACAAUGGGCGAAAGCCUGAUCCAGCCAUGCCGCGUGUGUGAAGAAGGCCUUCGGGUCGUAAAGCACUUUAAGGUGGGAGGAAGGGCUCAUAGCGAAUACCUGUGAGUUUUGACGUUACCAACAGAAUAAGCACCGGCUAACUUCGUGCCAGCAGCCGCGGUAAUACGAAGGGUGCAAGCGUUAAUCGGAAUUACUGGGCGUAAAGCGCGCGUAGGUGGCUUGAUAAGUUGGAUGUGAAAUCCCCGGGCUCAACCUGGGAACUGCAUCCAAAACUGUCUGGCUAGAGUGCGGUAGAGGGUAGUGGAAUUUCCAGUGUAGCGGUGAAAUGCGUAGAUAUUGGAAGGAACACCGGUGGCGAAGGCGACUACCUGGACUGACACUGACACUGAGGUGCGAAAGCGUGGGGAGCAAACAGGA
rnacentral:rRNA from 1 species